rnacentral:rRNA from 1 species
AUGCUAAUGGAACUAGACAAAUUCCUGAUGAAUGAUGAGUACUCCUUCGUCGGAUUCGCUAUUGAAGGAGACAAAAGCAAGCUGAAGGUAUCUGGUUUGGAGAUCAACUCCAACAACUACAUUGAUAUUCAGGUUGAAUGGAGAGACCCAUACAAUAAAAAGAAGUUUGACUCUUUGGCUGAUGUUGCUGGCAGGAUGAUAGACAUUCACUACAAUGACAUGAAGAAAAAAAUUAACCACAAGGAGGAUCAUACUCUGUGGGGAUUUUGCCCACUACCAAACAAGCUUAUCAAGUAUGCAGCAAUAGAUGCAUUCGCAACAUAUGAGUCAUGGAGAAUCAUCUACGAUGUUAUAAUGGGACUAGACAGGGCAAAAAGAGACUAA